rnacentral:lncRNA from 1 species
GCAGGCAUUGUGGAGAACCUAGAGUUUGUUCAAACGUCAAAGACUCCCAGAUCAUCCACUGUAUCUCAGGUCACCACCAAUCACCCUGACUUUUGUCUUGCCACUGGACUUUGAUGACUGAGAGUGAGGCUGAUAGUUUUAUGGAUCUCUGACUCACUUAAAUCCUAUUCACCUGAACGUCAAGAUGUCACUCCAUGAUGUUAGUGGUCCUCUUUGAAAACUAAGGGAAAAUGACAAACAACAACCUUUUUGCCAAACUGGCUUGCUUGCUGUUUCCUGUCAGUGUCCCACCAUCUCGCAUCUUCCUGCUUUUUCAGAGCUCAACAUUUCCAACUUUUUCAACUGAUCUUUCUAUUGCUGGUCUGGAGACAUUUGGGGGCUGACCCUAGGAGCUUUUGUACCAUGCUUCUGGCUCAUUACAGCAGCCCUCCCCCUAUGAGGGGUGAUGGAUUUACCCUGUUGCCUGGAGACCGGAUUCAAACAGAGACCCAGAGAGAGCACCUGGGCGCUGGCUCUGGAGGGGUUAAGAACGAGUCCUGGAGCGGAUAACGGAGCUGAAUAACCCCAACAAAGUGAAGCCUCAGCUCGAGCUGGAGGGAGAUGACAGGAAGAAGAAGGCAGCAUCUGCGGACCCUUUCCCCAGGCAGGACUUACCUUCUGCCCCAGUGCUCAGGCUGCCUCCUGCUGGAUUAAUAUUUCUCAACAUAUAAUUAAAUUUGUUUUUGUGAUUAAUCACUAUGUUUAAAUUAUGUUUGAUUUGUAGCAAUGAGAAUACAUAAUGCAUAUCAGAUAUUUACAUUCUUAAUCAUAACUGUAUCAAAAUUACAGUUUUGAAGUAGCCACCAAAAUAAUUUUUUGGUUUGGGUUCACUGCAGCAUGAGGAACUAUAUUUCAGGGUCAUGGCAUUAAAAAGGUUGAGAACCACUGCUCUAGAUCAUCCCCUAAACCCCUAACCUCAAUGAAAUUGCCUCAUUUCUAAUUCCCCUUUUUCUUGUCCAGUAACCCCUCUGUGAAAGGGGCAUAAAAUCCCCUUACCCCAU